GGAUCUCAAGUGGAAUGGGUCUCUGUUGCCGUUAAUCUCAAGUGGAACAGGAGGACCAAGGACUGAGUUUGAGUGUUUGAGACUUUGAGGGAGACGAAGGCAAAGUCACUGCACAAUUGAAGGUGUUGUUCCAAUCUCAGAAAUUCAAGUAAUCAUCUAAUCAAGGCCGGCUUAGACCUGGAGCAACGUAUCAUUUCAUUCAUUUGUGUGAAGUGUGAACUAUGAGUGUUUGAAUUAGAAAUUGUAUGAACU